rnacentral:rRNA from 1 species
UGGGGAAUUUUGGACAAUUGGGCGAAAGCCUGAUCCAGCAAUGCCGCGUGUGUGAAGAAGGCCUUCGGGUUGUAAAGCACUUUUGUCCGGAAAGAAAUCCUUGGCUCUAAUACAGUCGGGGGAUGACGGUACCGGAAGAAUAAGCACCGGCUAACUACGUGCCAGCAGCCGCGGUAAUACGUAGGGUGCAAGCGUUAAUCGGAAUUACUGGGCGUAAAGCGUGCGCAGGCGGUUUGCUAAGACCGAUGUGAAAUCCCCGGGCUCAACCUGGGAACUGCAUUGGUGACUGGCAGGCUAGAGUAUGGCAGAGGGGGGUAGAAUUCCACGUGUAGCAGUGAAAUGCGUAGAGAUGUGGAGGAAUACCGAUGGCGAAGGCAGCCCCCUGGGCCAAUACUGACGCUCAUGCACGAAAGCGUGGGGAGCAAACAGGAUUAGAUACCCCUGGUAGUCCACGCCCUAAACGAUGUCAACUAGUUGUUGGGGAUUCAUUUCCUUAGUAACGUAGCUAACGCGUGAAGUUGACCG